rnacentral:lncRNA from 1 species
CCCUAGGUUCAUAUGAUCGGACCUAUAGAGAGAGUGUCGGGCUCAUAGAGAUUAGAGUUGGUCAAGCACAAUAGGAAUCAUGUCCACUAGGAUAGGAUGUUGAGUCCUGUCUUUUUGAUGCUAUGAGAUGCAUAUGCAUGUGUUUUGCUGAGUAAGAUAUAUGUGUUUAUGUGCUGAUAUGCUAAUGUGUUGAUUGUACAGAGAGUUAAGAUGCGAGGAACUCGUCGAUCAGCUCGAUUGACUGGAGUCCCAUCAGAUAGUGAGGGAGUAGCUGCUCGUCCUCCUGCAUUGCCAAGGGCAAGGUCGCAAAGAUCUAGCAGGGAAGGCAUGUCAAUAGACCCUAGAAGGUCUGUAGACGAGAGCAGAAGAGGGGUAGUUAGAGGAGGUGGAUCAGAAGAAGUGAGGGAGGCCAUGGAGACUGAUCCGUCUAUGGAUGAAGGUAUGGGAGAAUCCGAGGGAGGCGUUCAGGCCUCAGG